GCCGCCUGUGAGCAGGUCAUUGUCUCCCGAGUCAGAGACACAGUGGAUCCAGCAGAGAGAUCCAGCAGAGCAGGGACCCAACCACAGGGCACUGGCAUCCAAUGGAAAAGCAGGAAUGAGGGAUUUAAAGAAGUUUGGAGAUGUUUCUGAAGUUAGGACAGACUUUGGUGACCGUGCACAGCCUGUUCCCACCGGGUUGAUCUUGGGAAAGGUUCUUCUGCUAAAGCCUUAGAGGAUAAUUGAACCCCAUCUAUUAACCAGGAAUUCUAUCCCACCAUCGCUGCUCUGAAGGAUAAAUGGGAGCCUUGUUCCCAUUCCUAGAGGAUAGAAUUUAGACAGACACGAAUAAACACCUCUCAAACCUUCCCUUCCCUCCCUUUUGGAGGAAGCUGCUGGGAAAGAGAGGGAUCACAGCUCAGUCUCCAGGCUCAAGCUGGGGGAGCACGGAGUGACAAAGUGAAGGUACUCAGAGGAGGGAGAAGGAGAAGUUUCUCUACCGGGAGAGGAUGGCUCUGAGGAAAAAAACAGAAUGUUUCUAAACUGGAUAACAAGGAUUUCCCAAAACAGCCAAGCAACAAUCCCUGGAGUGGGAAUUCCAGGCAAGGAUCUCCCCUCUCCUGCCACCAGCUCGGAGUUGUCUUUUCCUGCAGGGAACAGAGGACAGAGAGUGCCUGUGCUGCUCUGGCUGCAGAAAGCACAGAAAGCCUUUCCAGGCUCUGUAUCCUCACAAGAGCAGAAGUCCCUGCCUGUACAUUUGUGCAAAUAAUAAAUAUUUGCCUGGCCACGGUUGGAUUGAAUCCUGA